GUGAGUGGUCUGGUAGGCACAUGAUAGAACACCGUUGGUUCUAUUUGUAAUUUAUUGACCAUUUCUUUUGAGGUGUGAAGAAAAAGGACUCUUUUCUCUGAAAAUAUGUCUUUAGUAGACGAGCUGGAGAUGAAGACGGGCUGUAUGCCAGUGAGGAAGGCGAUGAGAGUGAUGGGGAACCCGGUGAGAGUCAAACAGACCGGGGACUGGAGGACAUAACGGAGGAGAUGGAGGUAUUGCUGGUGGGUCCAAGAUGUCCAAGAUGCCUGCAUGUAAUCUGAUGUUGCUGGGAGCUCUGGAUUCAGCAGGUUUUCCCUGCUGUCCCACACCGGUUACAUCUACCACUGUGACAUAGUAUAGUCUCUGCCUUAGUCUUUUUAUUAUUAACAGUUUUUAUUGAUUCCAUUCAACAAUUUAAAUAAACAUAACAGAAAAUUUGGAAUCAAAUUAUAUCAAAUUAAACCCUUCCCCACCCGAACACACCUAUCCCCUAUGUUAAUGACCAGCUAUCGUCUAAAAUAUUUUUUACAGUCUGGGGCAAUAUGAAAUUUGAGUGCCCAAUAUGUAAUGCAUAAAACUCUGAACCCUCAACCAAAAUUCUUAGAUCUUAACACACCACUAAAAAAAACAUGGGUUGUGUCCCCAUUUUCUGAUUGGCAUUUCCAGCAGGUGGGUGUGUCUAAGGCCAAGUCUAUACAAUCUAGCCUGCCCACAUCACUCAAAAACCUUUUAUUGAUGGAUCAAAUUUAACUCUAAAUCACACAUUUUCUGGGAAUAAAAUACCCAAAUACUUAAUGUCCUGUUUGGGCCACUGGAAGGCCCCCGGCUGAAAAGCUGUUACAGUAUGCUGUCAGAGCCAAAGCUUCGGAUUUACACCAAUUAACUCUGUAUCCUGAGAAUUUCGAAAAGGAAUUAAUAUAUCUGUUGAGGCAAGGCAUAGAUCUAGUUGGGUCGAAGACAAAUAAUAAAAUAUCAUCUGCGUAAAGCAAAAGCUUAUGUCCCACCACCCCUGGAAAAUGCUAAUUGUUCCAGGACAAGACAGAACAAUAAAGGGGAAAGAGGGCAACACUGCCGGGUAGGGCUGAAACGAUUAGUCAACAUUAUCGACAACGUCGACUAUAAAAAAAACUGUUGACAAAAAUGUUCAUUGUCAAAUAGUCGUUUAAUCUCAUUUAAAGUAAUAUGAGAUCACAUUAAACUGUAAUGAUGACAUGCGAGAGUAGCACUGCAGCUCGUGUCUGACUGAGUAGAGGAACAGCUCACAUUCCAGAUGCACUCUAAACUUUCCAAACAGCUUCAGCUUAUGUAGAUGGCAUACUACAAGUAUGAGGGAAUUAUUAUCCAAAAAUACCAAAUGAGUAAAUACAGAAGCACUCUCGUUGUGGAAUAAGCAGAGCUGGAGCUCUUUAAAGGAAACACCCAGGGGUUACAUCUUAAAUGCAGUUUUAAUGCCUUAUAGCUUUAUUAAAGUACAAAUAAUACGGAAGCAGGUCAUGUAAUUAACUACAAACUCCGAAACUGGCAUUUUUCUGUGCGGUUAGCACAGGGGAGAUUGAAACUGCACCCGGCCGAUUCACACUAUGACGCGGUGAUGCUCAUCCAUCUCACGCAUGCUUGCUGCAGCUAAAUUAUAAUGUGAUGACUCGCGACUUGUUGAAUCAUAUAUAAUAUAUGUCACUGUGCAUUUCUUAACAUGAAGAAAAUAUGGAUUAAAGUGAACAGAAAGGUGAGAGAGGGUAGUUUUCGCCCCAUCAUACACUGCAACAAAAAAAAAAUUAUGAUUUGUUUUGGCUUGAUUUCCAAUAAAAAUAUCUAAAACUAAUUUAAAACAAUGUACAUUUACUUUAGGAACUAUACUGCAGAAGAAAACGUUGUUAUCUGAGAAUGUUGAAUAUAAUUAAAAAAAUAUUUAUUUUUUUAUCAAAUCUAAAAAUCCUUUAAAAAAAGAUGCUGUGGCAGCGGGGCGUGGUCAAGCGCCCGUCCAGGAGAGAAAAGCGGUAAGGGCGCUUACACCUGAGCUAAAUUAUGUCUAACACCUGUGUCUAAUUUCAGUAAGCAUGGGGAGAGCGGCAUAAAAAGGCAGCAGCCACAGAGCCUCGAGAAAGAGUAUCGUACACCAAGGCCAACAGAACAAGCCAACAAAUCUUUGUAUUGUUUACGAUAUAACUUAUAUCAUAUAAGUGUGAAAAUUAAAAGUCUCACCUUGAACUUGAAGAGGCUGUUCACGUGUUAUCCUUGGGCAGACUCUUACAGAUGCAUUCACCUGAGAAGCAGCAUAUAAGAUAUUUAGACUUGCUUUUAGAGAAAAGAUCUUGAAUAUAAGUAUAUUUUGUUCUGCACUCGCAUAUAUA